GACGAACGCUGGCGGCGUGCUUAACACAUGCAAGUCGAACGGAAAGGCCCUGCUUUUGUGGGGUGCUCGAGUGGCGAACGGGUGAGUAACACGUGAGUAACCUGCCCUUGACUUUGGGAUAACUUCAGGAAACUGGGGCUAAUACCGGAUAGGAGCUCCUGCUGCAUGGUGGGGGUUGGAAAGUUUCGGCGGUUGGGGAUGGACUCGCGGCUUAUCAGCUUGUUGGUGGGGUAGUGGCUUACCAAGGCUUUGACGGGUAGCCGGCCUGGGAGGGUGACCGGCCACAUUGGGACUGGGAUGCGGCCCAGACGCCUACGGGCGGCAGCAGUGGGGAAUAUUGCACAAUGGGCGGAAGCCUGAUGCAGCAACGCCGCGUGCGGGAUGACGGCCUUCGGGUUGUAACCAGCUUUCGCCUGUGACGAAGCGUGAGUGACGGUAAUGGGUAAAGAAGCACCGGCUAACUACGU
rnacentral:rRNA from 1 species